rnacentral:rRNA from 1 species
CUGAAAGGCAGGAGUGCCCGCAAGGGAGCGCGGAGACAGGUGGUGCAUGGCUGUCGUCAGCUCGUGACGUGAGAUGUUGGGUUAAGCCCCGCAACGAGCGCAACCCUCACCCCUUGUUGCUACCAGGUAAAGCUGGGCACUCUAGGGGAACUGCCCCGGUCAACGGGGAGGAAGGCGGGGAUGACGUCAAGUCAUCAUGCCCCUUACGUCCUGGGCUACACACGUGCUACAAUGGCCGGUACAAAGGGAUGCCACACCGCGAGGUAGAGCUAAACCCAAAAAGCCGGUCUAAGUUCAGAUUGGAGUCUGCAACUCGACCCCAUGAAGGAGGAAUCGCUAGUAAUCGCGUAUCAGCACGACGCGGUGAAUACGUUCCCGGGCCUUGUACACACCGCCCGUCACACCACGAAAGCCAG